rnacentral:rRNA from 1 species
UGGGGAAUUUUGGACAAUGGGGGCAACCCUGAUCCAGCAAUGCCGCGUGAGUGAAGAAGGCCUUCGGGUUGUAAAGCUCUUUUGUCAGGGAAGAAACGGUGAAGGCUAAUAUCCUUUGCUAAUGACGGUACCUGAAGAAUAAGCACCGGCUAACUACGUGCCAGCAGCCGCGGUAAUACGUAGGGUGCAAGCGUUAAUCGGAAUUACUGGGCGUAAAGCGAGCGCAGGCGGUUAUGUAAGUCAGAUGUGAAAUCCCCGGGCUUAACCUGGGAAUGGCAUUUGAGACUGCAUAGCUAGAGUGUGUCAGAGGGGGGUAGAAUUCCACGUGUAGCAGUGAAAUGCGUAGAUAUGUGGAGGAAUACCGAUGGCGAAGGCAGCCCCCUGGGAUAACACUGACGCUCAUGCACGAGAGCGUGGGGAGCAAACAG